GUUAAAUCAGCUUGACUGUCUUUCAUGGGAGUGCUUACCAAAUCUUCAUUUUCAUUGCAGCUUCCAAUCAGAGUCAGCCAACAGAAUACCCACACCAAAGUCAGCACGGAUCAUAACAAGGAAUGUCUCAUCAACAUUUCCAAGUACAAGUUUUCCCUGGUCAUCAGCGGCCUCACCAACAUCUUAAAAAAUGUUAACAACAUGAGGAUAUUUGGAGAAGCUGCUGAAAAGAACUUGUAUCUCUCUCAGCUUAUUAUUUUGGACACGUUGGAAAAAUGCCUCGCUGGGGUGAGUACCUUGUUGGAUUUCCUUGGUGAAUUGCCUGCUUUUCAACUGAUUGAGAAAGUUUUGAAAUAUUGCUCUCCAAGCUGCUGCAGACAGAAUAGUUCAUGGAUUCUCUUGCCUUACUCCAAUCUUGAAUAUGCUAACUGUGCCUUGGCUGUCGGUUGGCUGAGUAUGUUGUUAUUGCAUUCUAUAUGCUUUGUUUUUAUGUGUUUACAUGUAUUAAAUACAUUUUGAUAUUGUAUUUUAUGCUGUAUUUGGGCUUGGUCCCCAUGUGAGCCGCCCCGAGUCCCUUCGGGGAGAUGGGUCGGGAUAAUAAUAACAAUAAUAAUAUCAAUAACUAUUUUUAUACCCCGCCUCCAUCUCCCCAAUUAAUAAUAAUAUUAAAAAUGUUUUGCUUGCUCUUGAAUCGGAGUUUAAGCCUCUGCGUGAAUUAGAGGGCUAAAAUAAAACCACCAUAAAAUGAUUUAGAUACAAGAGGAAUUGAUGAGAAACAUUAAGCAUUCAUAGAAAGUAGUGGUGUUAAAAUUUGGGUGCUAAAAGAAAGGUUUUAAUUUGGUACUUGAACCAAACUGACAAGGCAGCAAGUGGGCAGCCUCCUGCAUGUCACUGGGAUGACUAUGGCACCUUUUCACAGACUUAUCAUAGUAUAUUUAUUGUAUGUGACCUUAUUUGUAUUAUGACUUGUUUUAUUGGUGAUUGAUAUGUUUUAUUGUUGUGUUUUUAUAUUGUCUGUUGCCUGGGCUUGGCCCCAUGUAAGCCGCCCGAGUCCGGGGAGAUGGGGCAGGGUAUAAAAAUAAAAUUAUUAUUAUUAUUAUUAUUAUUAUUAUUAUUAUUAUUAUUA
rnacentral:lncRNA from 11 species